AACGAACGCUGGCGGCGCGCCUAAUACAUGCAAGUCGAGCGAGAAGACGUAGCAAUACGUUUGUAAAGCGGCGAACGGGUGAGGAAUACAUGGGUAACCUACCCUCGAGUGGGGAAUAACUAGCCGAAAGGUUAGCUAAUACCGCGUACGCUCCUUGGACUUCGGUUCAGGGAGGAAAGCGAUACCGUGGGUAUCGCGCUCUUGGAUGGGCUCAUGUCCUAUCAGCUUGUUGGUGAGGUAACGGCUCACCAAGGCUUCGACGGGUAGCUGGUCUGAGAGGACGAUCAGCCACACUGGCACUGCGACACGGGCCAGACUCCUACGGGAGGCAGCAGUGAGGAAUAUUGCGCAAUGGGCGAAAGCCUGACGCAGCGACGCCGCGUGGGGGAUGAAGGUCUUCGGAUUGUAAACCCCUUUCGGGUAGGGAAGAUGGGACGGGCAACCGUUCGGACGGUACCUCCAGAGCAGCCACGGCUAACUUCGUGCCAGCAGCCGCCGU
rnacentral:rRNA from 1 species